rnacentral:rRNA from 1 species
UACGGAGGAUCCAAGCGUUAUCCGGAUUUAUUGGGUUUAAAGGGUGCGUAGGCGGCGUGCUAAGUCAGGGGUGAAAGACGGUGGCUCAACCAUCGCAGUGCCUUUGAUACUGAUGAGCUUGAAUGUUGAUGAAGAUGGCGGAAUGAGACAAGUAGCGGUGAAAUGCAUAGAUAUGUCUCAGAACACCGAUUGCGAAGGCAGCUAUCUAAGCAAUGAUUGACGCUGAUGCACGAAAGCGUGGGGAUCAAACAGG